rnacentral:rRNA from 1 species
CCUACGGGUGGCAGCAGUGAGGAAUCUUGGUCAAUGGACGAGAGUCUGAACCAGCCAAGUAGCGUGAAGGAUGACUGCCCUAUGGGUUGUAAACUUCUUUUAUAAAGGAAUAAAACGAGGCACGUGUGCCUUUUUGUAUGUACUUUAUGAAUAAGGAUCGGCAAACUCCGUGCCAGCAGCCGCGGUAAUACGGAGGUUCCGAGCGUUAUCCGGAUUUAUUGGGUUUAAAGGGAGCGUAGAUGGGUUGUUAAGUCAGUUGUGAAAGUUUGCGGCUCAACCGUAAAAUUGCAAUUGAUACUGGCAGUCUUGAGUACAGUUGAGGUAGGCGGAAUUCGUGGUGUAGCGGUGAAAUGCUUAGAUAUCACGAAGAACCCCGAUUGCGAAGGCAGCUUACUAAACUGUGACUGACAUUGAUGCUCGAAAGUGUGGGUAUCAAACAGGAUUAGAUACCCUUGUAGUC